AUCAGUAAGCGGAGGAAAAGAAACUAACUAGGAUUCCCCCAGUAACGGCGAGUGAAGCGGGAACUAGCCCAGCGCCGAAUCCCCCGGUCCCCGGCGGCCGGCGGGAGCUGUGGCGUGCGGGACCGCCUCCGGCGGGGCGGCCAGCGACGUCCGAGUCCUCCUGAUCGGGGCCUGUCCCUGAGCGGGUGUAAGGCCUCUACGGCGUCCGGCCCCCCGCCUCGCGGGCGCGUCUCCGGAGUCGGGUUGCUUGGGAAUGCAGCCCAAAGAGGGUGGUAAACUCCAUCUAAGGCUAAAUAUCAGCACGAGUCCGAUAGCGAACAAGUACCGUGAGGGAAAGUU
rnacentral:rRNA from 2 species